AGCGAACGCUGGCGGUAGGCCUAACACAUGCCAGUCGAACGGCAGCACAGUAAGAGCUUGCUCUUACGGGUGGCGAGUGGCGGACGGGUGAGGAAUACAUCGGAAUCUACUUUUUCGUGGGGGAUAACGUAGGGAAACUUACGCUAAUACCGCAUACGACCUACGGGUGAAAGCAGGGGAUCUUCGGACCUUGCGCGAUUGAAUGAGCCGAUGUCGGAUUAGCUAGUUGGCGGGGUAAAGGCCCACCAAGGCGACGAUCCGUAGCUGGUCUGAGAGGAUGAUCAGCCACACUGGAACUGAGACACGGUCCAGACUCCUACGGGAGGCAGCAGUGGGGAAUAUUGGACAAUGGGCGCAAGCCUGAUCCAGCCAUACCGCGUGGGUGAAGAAGGCCUUCGGGUUGUAAAGCCCUUUUGUUGGGAAAGAAAAGCAGCAGGUUAAUACCCCGCUGUUCUGACGGUACCCAAAGAAUAAGCACCGGCUAACUUCGUG
rnacentral:rRNA from 1 species